rnacentral:lncRNA from 1 species
CUUGGAGAAAGUGCCAUGCAAGCCUUGACAUUGUGCGCCUCCUUACUAUUCACAUCUCUGCUUAGCGUGAGAGGGAGCCUCCUCCUGACUUAGCCUGGAAUGCACAUGGAGGGUGGGAGCCAACUGACCCAGUGAUCUGUGCUUUCAAUAUGUCUGCUGUUCUAUAACAGUGAAGAGGUCCAGCUGGGCUUCCACUUCCUUGCUAUGGGAAUUCUCAGAAAAUCAUUUUCAAUCUUUUUAUUCUUAUUUUUAUUUAUGGAAUAAAUGCUAUCCAAAUAAAUCAUCAAGUGAGACUGACUUUGCAACUCAAGACAAGUUCCAAUAAGCAUUGAUACUUACAAUGCAGUUCAUAGUUUCUUCGAAGAAAGGGCAAUUCAGACAAUUUAUCAGUGCUGUACAACCUUGUCAGCAUAUUAAGGAAGUGA